CUCUCAAAGCAGGGUGCGGCUGCAGAUGGGGAAGAAGUGCUCUUUCAGCUCCUCUGAUCUCCGGGCUGAUGCUGGCUGGGAAGAGGAGUGUCUCUGCAGGGCUCUGGCUCAGCACCCUCUCUCUCUGGAUUCAUAUAGCAUAGUUGCAGUGAUGGUUGGGUUACUAAUAGAGCAAAAUGCUUAAGGAACAGGUUCUCUGAGAUUUCUUUUUCCUGCUUGUCAUGUUUUUACAUAGCUAAUUAAGGAGGUGCUGGACCAAGUGAACACGUACUGAUGCACAGUUAGAGCUAGCCCUGACUCCAUUAGGAAACCUAUGAAACCAAACUGUGGUCACCUGCUUUUCGGUUUGUUGCAGCUCAUCUUCCCUAAAGCUUAUGCACAUCAUCCAAAGGCUGCAGCCAGCCCAACAUACCCCAGUUCACUCCAGGAGCUGGACCAGUUGGUUGUCUCCUAGCAUCAGCAAUGCCUUCACCAGUGCCACUGGGGCUGGAUCACAUCCUCAGCCCACAAAUGCUUCUGGGUUCAGCUGAAGCUGGCGGUGCUUCUGUGUGUUUUAUAGAGUCUGAGGCACUCACCGUGGGGAAAUAUAAUCCUGAAAGCAGCGUAUUUUAGGGGAUGCAAUUUCAGCAGAGAAGAGCAGUGGUCCUGCAGGGCUCUUAGCUGGGAAAUGUGCUGCCACGAGGCACCUAAUAAAGCUCAGGGCAAGAUACCAUGAUGAUGUACCAUGAUGGAAGGGGAGAAAAGCAGACAUAAAGGGAGAAGAAGUAAUGAGAGAGAAGAGGCUUGAAAACCACACCAUCAUGGCUUGAGACACCCUAAAAGGUUUAUUUUAUUGUGAACAACAGGGUCGGCCAUUCUGUAUCUGACUGGAAGAACCUUGUGCUGUCCCAUUAGAGCAAACUAUUUGCAGCUUGUGUUAAUGCACUGAAAUAAUGUCACACACAGUCAGCCUCGGUCUGCACUUGUAAUUAAUGUGAGCGCAAUUAAUCUGAGCGGAGAUGACACCUUUUGUCAGCACCGGGUAAUCCGUUCUAGCAAAGGUAAAGCUGAGCAAGCAGUUGAAAGGGAAAUCAUUAGCAAUAUUCCUCUGUGAUGGCAAAGUUUGUCUUCACACCUUGUUACUUCCAUAGAUGGAUGAGCUAAACGCAGAGGGGAAAAAAAACACAACUAAAAAAGCCCUUCGCAAGCAGCCAGAGCUGUUCUCGCUGGUUGAAAGGAAAGCUUUCCUUUGUACACGUUGGUGUUUCUUCAGUGAGCUGCUUUGAUGGCCCCUGAGGGGGUUUAGCUCAUCUCACAAUCAAUGUGGAAAUUAAGGAUAGUAUGCAAUUUGUAAGACAAUCGUAUUGUUUGAACAAAGACUGGCUACAAGUGCUUCUGCUCAGAUUUACCGCAUUUAGGCAAGUUUAUAUCCCUGACUUCUUUUCCAGAGUCUGUGUCAGAAAUACAGUCCCCACUUGGGCACUGUGCAGGAUGUGGUGCUGGGCUGCUUUCCAUGGCCCGGCCAACCAGCGCUGCCCGCGGCUGCCUGGGGAGCUCUGCAAAAAUGUCAAUUAGCAAUAAAAGUUCUGCAAACAAGCAUAAUGCCAUCUCCUUAUACCUCCCCUGCUGCUGCUCACAGUCUCACGGUAAUGUCCAGAGCUGAAAAAUGGAUGCUGUGGGCUUCUGUGGCUGCUGCCUCUCAGUUGCUGUAAUCUCAGGGUUAUGUUUUACUGGACAUGUUGUCCCCUGGAAGUUUGGAUGUCAAAUUGAAAAUAGAGGAGUUAGCCAGUGGUGUCCCUUCUUAAGGGAUGUUUUGCAGAGCGGAGUGCCUGUCGUUUACAUCUAAUUCCACUUGGACUCGAGUAUCUUUGCUUUUGGUUCCUGUCUGUGCUUUUCUCACAGGUGACCUGGGGAUCUCUUAGCUCCUGGCUGUCAUCCAUGCAGCUCAGAAGGGGUCAACAGGCACCGUUUUCUGUUUCUCUCCACAGUUCUGAUCUGUUUACCUUUCACUGCAGUUCCUUUGAUUUUAAAAAGGAAAAGCCCACACGUCUGAGCGGUGUCUCUGGGUAAUCAGUUACCUAUCUAGGAUGCUGCAUAAAUUGCCUCAUCAGGGGCUGCGGAACUCCAAGAGGCUUUCCCAAGCAGAAAUCCAUCCCCUGGUUAACCUGAAGGGAAUCUGCCAUGGCUUUGCCCUUUGUGUGCAGGGUGGAAGGAGAAACCAAGAAGCAGUCCUAGCCUUGCACCAUCAUCGUGCAGGUCCUAAGGCAGCUGUGUGUAAUGAACCACCUGGAAAGAGGAGGCACUUUUGAUGAUCACAUUGGUGACAGCUGUGUUAGAGGAGGAGAAAAUUAACCAGAGCAGUUAAAUGAGGGACCUGCAAGCUUGCCCCCAUAGUUUCUGUGGGCCUCGAGUGAGCUCAAGAGCUCGUCUGAGAUGGUUUCCCAUACAGUCUUCAUGUCUUCUGUAGAUCAACCAGAUGGAUGCAAGUCCUAUUGCACAGAGGAGAUGUGGGGACAGGAAAGUCACCAGGGACUUCAUCUGACUGCCAUGACUUUUUUCAAAUGUCAUCAAGAAUGAGAGCUGAGUACCUCAACCUUCUCCUUGCCUGUUCUUACCAGCCUGCCUGCAUUGUUCUCUAAGGGGGAAAAUGCCUCCUUGGACUUAACUGUAGUGAUUGAUGUGUGUGUAGAAGCUUUUCUUAUACCUCUUUGCACCCCUUGCCAAGUCUGGUUCCAGUUGGGCAUUGACCAACUCCUGCUUUCCAGCACUGUGUUACCAACUCCUGCACAAAGCAAAUGUUUCAGUAAACCCCAAAUGCAUGACUUGCUUCUUGCAAUACUGAGCUUCAUUCCACUUCAAUUUUUCCCAGCUCCUCAAGUCUUUCUAGCUUUUCCCAUUCAGUGCAAUGAUCCUCCACUGUAUUCAUGAAGCCUCUGAUCUGCAGUGCGUAUCUUGCUGCUCUUCAGAUACCAUCUCUGCUCAGCAAACCUUGUUGCCUCCAGCUGUCCUGCAGGUGUCCCAAAUGCUGGGGGAUUUCUACAGUGAUGCUCCAAGCAUAUAUUUGAGAAACAUGAAGUACUUUUGUCAGGUUUUGGACUAUGCUCAGAAUAAAGUCACUUCAGAACUCAUAAAAAAAAA